UGCUUUUGCUGCACAGCAGGACAGCUGGAAAACGCAUCAAAAGAUUGUCUGACAUUGUCCUAGUACACCUUACAAAACAACAACACGGGGCACAAGGCAGCCCUGUGGAGAACAUGGACCCCGCUGGCCAUUCGGAGGCUUAUGACAGGGUCUCUGGACACAGGAUACUUUUAAUGUAGGCGACUGGAACUUUUACUUUUGCACAAGAGCCUUGGUGUUAUUGAAACCAGUUUUCCUCUGAAGGAAAUAAUGUUUUUAGACUCCUUUCCCUCUCCCCCUCCCCAUUUGAUGGACUCCAGACUCAACCCUCUCAAGGACUUCGCCUCGGAGAAACUUCAGCUCCGUUCAGUGACCAUGGAUUGAGCGACUAUGGCUUGCCACCCGGACGACUAAGUAGGAGAGAGGCAGAGAGGCCCAGGAGAGGCUCUACCCUUACAGCCCUCACCAGCACUGAAGGGGACAUGUUUAUUUCCACUCUGUAAUCGUCACCGCCCUCAGAAUCUCUAGAUCAGGGGCUGGCAAACGAUGGCCUGAUGGAGCAAGUUUGCCAACCCCAGCUUUAGAGACUUGACAAUUGACUAUGCUUCUCCUUCAAUAUACGAUGGAAUGAUAACAAUGCUAGUGAUGAUGACAGUGGUUCUACAGAAGGUGGUGACCAAACAUCUCCAAAUGAUCUCUGUUUCAUCUUGCAAACAAAGGAGAGCAGUCACAGAACAAGAGCAAUCAGCAGUGGUGGUUUCUUCCCUAUGGAGCUGCAGAUGAUGCUCUGAGGAGCCACAUAGCUCCUCGCUGGGACACAGAUGCACAUAUAAAAAGUGCCUGUCAGAACAACCUACAUUUCUCCGGUGUUUACAACUUGACAGGUGCUGUGCCUGCAUUUUCUCGCUUAAUCCACACAGCAUCUCUAUGAGUUUGGAUGGUUGGGACUCCCAUUUGAUGGACAAGGAGAUGCUGCCCAAAGUCAAGCAACUAGUAUUUGUGGGACUUGGGAGUUGAGCCCAAGAAGCCUGAUACCAGAGCCCCACUCCACCCUCUGUGCCUUACUGCUCUAGGUCUUAGAAGUGAUGUAUGGGGGGUGGUACCAACAAUGGAGUAACAAAUGACUGAAGUGAGUACCAAAGGUGUGUGGAAGAACAGUGUGCCAACUAUAUUGUGAGCCUUGGACCAUUGGGAUCUUUUUAUGUUCAUCUCAUUGUCUUCAGGAUUGCUUUGGGUAUAUUUGCUGGAUUACAUUGAGUAGAACAUAUCGUGUCAACAAAUAUGCCAGCAUAUGUUCUCUCUAUGGAGCUAGCUUUUUGCUUGGUCUCACCUUUAAACUUUGCCAUUCCCUUACCUCCUAUGUCUUUCGCACCUGUGUGCUUGGUUAACACUGUUCCAUUGCCAUGAAAUCCCUUUCUCCCCAUCUCCACCUAGCAAACACCUAUUCACCCUUAGGCUAGGUUGGAUAUCACUUCCUCAAGGGACACUUUCCAUGACUUUUGUAGAGAAUUCCUUCUCCAUGUUCUACAAGGAUGUGAUUCAUCUUGCCUCCAGCACAGCAUGUCUUCAUGCUCUCUAUACCAGCAUUUAACACAGUGCGUGGCUUUCUGAUGGCAUUUAGUAAAAGCUUAUUGGAUUAAUAAACAAAUGUCAAACAGGUAAAUAUUCUGAUGUAAAGUCUCUCUCAAAUUCCCCAGAACCACUUUUUCUGGAUAAGAAAAAUUUCCAGAACU